UGGGGAAUAUUGGACAAUGGGGGCAACCCUGAUCCAGCCAUGCCGCGUGUGUGAAGAAGGCCUUUUGGUUGUAAAGCACUUUAAGCAGUGAAGAAGACUCCAUGGUUAAUACCCAUGGACGAUGACAUUAGCUGCAGAAUAAGCACCGGCUAACUCUGUGCCAGCAGCCGCGGUAAUAAAGAGGGUGCAAGCGUUAAUCGGAAUUACUGGGCGUAAAGCGAGCGUAGGUGGCUUGAUAAGUCAGAUGUGAAAGCCCCGGGCUUAACCUGGGAACGGCAUCUGAUACUGUUAGGCUAGAGUAGGUGAGAGGAAGGUAGAAUUCCAGGUGUAGCGGUGAAAUGCGUAGAGAUCUGGAGGAAUACCGAUGGCGAAGGCAGCCUUCUGGCAUCAUACUGACACUGAGGUUCGAAAGCGUGGGUAGCAAACA
rnacentral:rRNA from 1 species